rnacentral:lncRNA from 1 species
CCCGGGCCGCCGUGUUCCCGUGCAGGCGGAAAUAUCGCGAGAACAAAAGUGACUAUACCAGUGAACAUGUCAAAAAGGAGGGACGUAGAGUUCUCGCGAUACUGCUUGUGUGACGAAGCGCUUCGCUAUUCCAGGGGCGUGGUCAAGGUGAAAGGGGCGUGUCUACGCUGAACGGAAGAUGGAAGGUGUCUCAGUUACGGCUGCGUGGGCGCUCCGAAGCAGCUUCCGUUGUGGAGGGGACGAGUGUCCGCUCGGAAGAUCGAUCACCUGUGGUGAGAGCUGGGGCGCUGACAGGGUCGCCAGCACCGCACUCCUUCCUUCUCCGCAGUUUUGCACCCGGUCUCUGCGUCCCUGUUUCCCAGGUUAAGAGCACUUACACUUCUUUCCAGUGUAGGCGACUCUUUCAAGUGUGCCUCAGUCUGUCAUGUUUCCUGCCCCGGAAGCUCGAUGCCGACCUCCGCACGCCCCUCCAUGAGUGUCUGGACAUUCUGACAACUUCCACC